rnacentral:rRNA from 1 species
CCUACGGGAGGCUGCAGUGAGGAAUAUUGGUCAAUGGGCGUAAGCCUGAACCAGCCACGUCGCGUGAGGGAUGAAGGUUCUAUGGAUCGUAAACCUCUUUUAUAAGGGAAUAAAGUGUGGGACGUGUCCUAUUGUGUAUGUACCUGAUGAAUAAGGAGCGGCUAACUCCGUGCCAGAAGCCGCGGUAAUACGGAGGAUCCGAGCGUUCUCCGGAUUUAUUGGGUUUAAGGGGUGCGUAGGCGGCCUUUUAAGUCAGCGGUGAAAGUCUGUGGCUCAACCAGGGAAUUGCCGUGGAAACUGGGGGACUUGAGUAUGUUUGAGGCAGGCGGAAUGCGUGGUGUAGCGGUGAAAUGCGUAGAUAUCACGCAGAACCCCGAUGGCGAAGGCAGCUUGCCAGGCCAUGACUGACGUUGAUGCACGAAAGCGUGGGGAUCAAACAGGAUUAGAUACCCCUGUAGUC